GUACACGCUGUGACUAGCAUAUCAAUAAGCGGAGGAAAAGAAACUAACAAGGAUUCCCUCAGUAACGGCGAGUGAAGCGGGAAGAGCUCAAAUUUGAAAUCUUGAAAGGUCACCUUUCACGAAUUGUAGUUUAAAGAAGUGUUUUCUGUUACGAUCGUAAUAUAAGUUCUUUGAAAUAGGACAUCACAGAGGGUGAGAAUCCCGUCUAUGAUUGCGAUUUGUAGCUUUGUGAUACACUUUCAAAGAGUCGGGUUGUUUGGGAAUGCAGCCCAAAACGGGAGGUAAAUUUCUUCUAAGGCUAAAUAUUGGCGAGAGACCGAUAGCGAACAAGUACCGUGAGGGAAAGAUGAAAAGAACUUUGAAAAGAGAGUUAAAUAGUACGUGAAAUUGUCAAAAGGGAAGCGUUUAACACCAGUGUUGUUUUCUGAAAAUCAACCUCUGUUAGCUUUAUGCAUGUUUGUUUAGACCUAAUCAGCUAUCUUUCAUGUUCUAUUGCUUGCAGUGGUGCACUUUUCAGUUUACAGGUCAACAUCAGUUUUUUUUACCGUAAAAAAGUUAAAGAAAGGUAGCUCAUGGCUCCGGUCGUGAGUGUUAUAGUCUUUUUCCUAUGCGGUAGGAGAGACUGAGGUCUGCAGUGUAGGCUAUUUGGCUAGAUACUCAGGUGCUAUGUGAUACCAUUUCAUAAACAACUUGUUGAUUAUGUUUUGUCUAUUGCAUACUCGCUUGUACUAUCAUACCUACGCUUAGGAUGUUGAGUAGCGACAUACGCA
rnacentral:rRNA from 1 species